rnacentral:rRNA from 1 species
ACUCCUACGGGAGGCAGCAGUAGGGAAUCUUCCGCAAUGGACGAAAGUCUGACGGAGCAACGCCGCGUGAGUGAUGAAGGUUUUCGGAUCGUAAAGCUCUGUUGUUAGGGAAGAACAAGUGCCGUUCGAAUAGGGCGGUACCUUGACGGUACCUAACCAGAAAGCCACGGCUAACUACGUGCCAGCAGCCGCGGUAAU